rnacentral:tRNA from 1 species
GUUUUAAUAAUUUAAAUAAAAUUUCAGUCUUGUAAACUGAACAUAAGCUGUGCUUUUAAAACA